CGCCACAUGGCUCAGUGGGUAAGAGGGACGACUUUGGAGUGAAAGGCCCUGGGUUCGAACCCCUGUGCGGGUA